CGGGUGUAGCUCAAUGGCAGAGCGUCAGCUUCCCAAGCUGAUUACGAGGGUUCGAUUCCCUUCACCC
rnacentral:tRNA from 1 species